AAUAUACUCUCUUCGUCCCAUAUUAACUGACUUUUUAUUACAUAUAUCUACACGUUUUUUAUGAAUAGAUACAUCCAUAUUUUGGCAAAUUUGAGUCACUUAAUAUGGGACGGAGGGAGUACAUC
rfam:Brachypodium distachyon strain Bd21 chromosome 2, whole genome shotgun sequence.